GGAUACGAUCAUACCAACUCACAUGCACCGGAUCCCAUCUGAAGUCCGAAGUUAAAGGAGUCUGGGCACGAGUAGUACUAGGAUGGAUGAUCCCCUGGAAAGUCUUCGUGUUGCAUCUC
rnacentral:rRNA from 1 species